rnacentral:lncRNA from 10 species
CAGGUUGAGUCCUUCCACCUCAUUAUCAUCCUAGGUAGGAGUGGAAGAUGAAUACCAGCCUGUGAGCCAAUGCUUUCAUUUUUGGCUGCAGCCAACUGGUUGUCUAAGGCUGGGAAGGGGUUAAGAUGCCCCCGGAGCUUGCCGCGAGGGCAGCUGCCUCAGCGGGCACUCCGCCUGGAUGGGAAUAUAAGCACUCUUGGUGUUGCCCAGGCAGAGAGGGCAGUGUGGAGGGAAGUUGCUAGAAAAAGGCAGGGGACAUAAUCCAUACUGGCCUCUUUCCCAGGCACAUCACAGUGGCAGAAUUAUUUAUGAUUCUGACCCAAUGGGGAUCCCUCUACUUGGGGAGACUGCCAACCCACGCCCUCCUGAAUGGCAACGUCCUCCCACAGAGACAGAGGGGAACAAGUAGCAUUUAUGGAGCGGCACAGAGGAAAGAGUGUGGGCUUUGGAGACAGCACAGCAGCACUCACAUCCCGGCCCAGACACUUCCUGUGUGACCUUGAGCCAGUUGAUGAACCUGUCUGGGCCUCUGUUUCCUCAUCUGUUAUCGGCGAAAAUGUUUCGGAGGACACCUAUUGUAUAAUGUUGCUAUGCAGAUUAAAUGCACUAGCAGAGGCAAAGUGCAUAGCUUAGAGGAAGGAAGUACUCGCUAAGUGGUAGCUGGUGUGAUAGGUGGGCCAAGUCCUGGCAGGAGCUGGG